ensembl:lncRNA
UUUUAUGACAAAAUAUUUUGUACUCCAGAUGCGAAAAAUGUGUGACAUCAUGGAUUUUUUAGACAGUUAUACAUUUAUCUCACAUUUAUAGAGCAUAUCAUGGCUGUGUAUAGUUGCCGCUUAAGAAUUGUAAUCGACCAGCAAUAUUUUCAGUAUUUUGGUGUUUUUUCUAUUAACCUUUCAUGUUUUUCAUCUUCCAAUUAAUAUUGGGGGGAGGGGAUACAAAUUUAUACGAAUUAUGCAAUACCAAGUUUUGCCUAUGUAGGUAGUGCUUUUAGCUGUAUUGGUUAUUAUAGGUAAGUACACAGAUUUAAAAAAAAAUAAUGUAUGCUUUUUUUGUUUGUUUUAAUUGACCAAAGUGGGUACUGCUAUUUUUGCAGUGUGAUGAGGUCCUUUUCUGUACUGAGAGGUGGACAGGGGAUUUUUUUUUAUACAUACAUAUAUAUAUAUUCUGGGGUGGGGGGGGAGGAUUUUUAACACUUUACAGUGUAGCUGUGAAGCAGUGCACCCUUAGCCAGGCAAGGGCUGCAAAGCAACUGUUCUGCCUACUGUGACAAACUUUCAAACAGGUUCCCUCUUUUUAACUUCCCACCUGGGGUGCAAGCUGAAAUCAUUUCCGGAUUUAAAAAAUAAGUAAUGAAUUCUGUUGGAGGCAGACUUGACUUGAGGAAAUUGUUUUACUUCAAGGUUUUUUUCAUGAGAAAGAGAGACAUACAGAGAAAGAGGUCAAGACCCACAGUGAGAUGAAGCCUUUUCCAUUCUGGCAAAGAUAAUGCAUCCUGAAGUGUUCAUGUUAGAAAAUGUUUUUAGCUCAGAAUGACAAAGACAUUUACUUUGUCUAGGAAAUGUAAGUGCAGGGCCAAAAUCUUUUCUGGCGUAAUUCCACUGACUCCAAUGGACUCUGGGGCUGUUCAAGCUGAGAAUUUGCCCUCCUUAUUCUGCUUGGCUUUUUUCCUAUACAUAAGUUCUUUCAUAGUCCAUUCCCCUCUCACCCCUCCAAGUUUCUUAAUUCAGCAUUUGAAUUACAAUUUUCAGCUUGGUUGGGCUAUGUCAGAAGUUUGCAGUCUUCUCAUAGAGAUCAGAUGGAGACCUCUGGGGGGUAGUGGAGGAGGAGUUUCUUUACGCAAGGAAUUAGACCAUGGUGGUAAUAAAAGUGUGUUUCCAGCAAAAUCCCAUUUUGCAGACCAGUAAUGGACCUAUUGCUGGUGAUCCCUUUCAGACAGGGACCUUUGAAAUGCAUGGCUCAACGCAGGGUGAAGUUUUCUUUAAAACUAGGGUAAAAGCAGAGGCACGUAUAGUCAUGUGGAUGGAAAAUUCAUCCCUUUACAGUUGUCUCUGCGUUUUGGAGGUUUUCCUACCCUGGAGCAGUCCCAGAGGCACAGAUCCAGCAGCAGCUACCCCAAUGAGCCCUGGUCAGGGGCAUUCCACUGUCAGUCCCUUCUGGCUCCAGCUGAAGGGCUGUAAGAGCAGUAGUGAUGGCACAUCCCCCUGCCUCCAGGAGGAGAGAGUGUGUAGGCAGGGCUUGAAUGGCUACAGAGAUGGGAAUUGUAGGAAAAUAAACCUUUGAGAUUUAGCUAAACUGGAAAAAAAAAAAGAGAAAGAUAAGACACAGACACAAAAAGAAACGGGGUCUUUGGUUCUUUUUUAGAACCCUCCAGUAAGUCAAUUUGUUUGCUAAGCACACGGCAAAGUCUGCUAGACCCAAGCACAGUGCACCUCAGGCUUUGGCCUAGUAAAACAAAAUAUGUGCUGUCCUUUACAUAUAUCAUGACACAGAGCAGUCUGGAAGCAGAGUUGUGCUGGGGGCAUGUCCUUGAUUAGUUCCAUUAACAAGGUGUUCCCUGAAAGCUUUUAAUACCACGUUGGGACAAAACUGGAACAAGUUCAGGCUUCAACAUGAAAUUUCCAGAAUGGUGAUUGUCUUUCAUAGGGAUAUAGAUGCCCUUAACAGAGCUUAUAUAUAUAUAUUUUUUUUUUUAAUCUGGCCUCCUGUAUGAAAGAAAUCUGAGCUAAAAGAUGCACUUUUUUAGUGAAUUAACUCAUUUAAACUGGGUUAUUCAGCAGCUGUGGGUUUUUGUCACCUGCCUCUUUAAUAGAAAUGCCUGCUUGGAAGAUAAUGAACUUUUCAUUUACUGUAUGCUUGGUUUUAGGUUGGAUUUUUUGGUUCUUUUUUUUUUAAGCCCAACAGUCAAAAGAUUAAGAUAAGAUUGAGAACUCAAAUCCAGUCUCUGGCCUCCUCCUUCACCAGGAAGUGUAUUCUGACUAAAUUGAGCCACCCCGUUCUAUGUGCACUGUUCUGCCUUUAUUAAGUUGCUUUGCAGCCCUGGCCUCAUGGCUGUGCCACUGAAGUGUGUUUCCCCUGGAGUGACAUGAACGCUUGAGGCUUGAUUAAGGAAAAAAAAGGCAGUGAAGGAGACUGUACAUAAAGACAUGGCAAAAAUAUUAAUUAUAGCAAUAUAGUUGUGGGGUGAUGUUCAGGUGGGCAGCUCCAUUGAAAAUAUGUGAAUGAAUUUGUGAAGCUGCAAGUAGCAAGAAGAAAGGAUGAUCUUCUGACUAAACCACCUACCUUGUAGACAGUAAUUUUUACACUGUAUAGUUUUGUUAAGAAUUUUUUUUUAAUUAAAAUACCCUUGUUUGUAAAGCUAACUUUUAACAAUUAUAAUGGAAAUGAAUUUCCAUUUUUAAACAAGAAUAUUCUUUGUUUAGAAACUGGACUUGGGUUAAAACUCUCCAGUUUCUUAAUUUAUGUAUUAAAAAAAUAAAAAUCUGUCCAUGUUAGGAGUUAUUUCGCAUAUUCCUGUGCUUGAAAAGCAUAGGUUACUAAUCCUUUAAAAAUGUAAAUGGAGAAAAUUAUAUUUUAUGAAGGUUAUUUUGUUGUAUUUAGUAUUGGAAAAGUUGGUUUUCAGAGCAUUUCAAAAUGUUGGAAGCACCACUGUCUUUUUUAUUAGUAUAUAUGGCCUUUAGCAAAAGUUUUUGUGAUUGUUACAUGAUGGUAUUUAAGAUUAGGUUCACAGAGCUAUUCAGGAUAGGCAGAGAGCUAAAACAGUACUUAAGUCUCACACAGCUGUGUCCUCAGGGAGCAGAAUUUUGGAUUUGCAACUUGUAGCUUCAUAAGGACUUAAUGAAAGAGAUUGCACAAAGACAUCUGUGACACCAGAGUGUGUUCUGUACCUAAACCUAAAUUAUAUGUACUGUGUGAGAUUAUGAAGGCUGCAGAAAGUUAUCCCAUAUUCAGUGUACAGUUUUCACUUUUAAGGAAAAAACUCUCUAAUGUUGCUGGCAGUAAGGCCCCAAGCGUGACAUCCUUUAUGGUUUAUAUGAUCCUGUCGAGGUCUUUUGUUAACGUUAACCAGCUGUAUGCUCCUGGAUUUUUUUUAUUGAGUUUCUAUAUAAAACUUUAGGAGAAAAAAAAAAAGAGAGUAAAAUCACAUGCCAGCUAAUCGAGUUAAACAGGAAAGGCUCAAAGCUGAAUGUUCUCCAUGCUGAAGGAGCCGAAAACCACCUCCUUCUUAUUUGCACUUUCUGCUAGUUCCCCAGUUUUAUUAAUUCCUCAAAAUUGUGUGGGUGGGGUGGAGCACUGCAGUUGGAGGAUAACAUGGACCACUGAUUUUGCCCUUUAACCCUGCACAAUGACCUUUGCAUCAGCCAAACUUAUUGCCAUGACAACUCUUUGUACUGUUUCCAUGCCACAGCUCUGUUGGUCACGUUGUCAAUAGUAAAGGGGACAAGUUGGAGACGGUCAAUUUUUACAUUUUUUUUGUUGCAAUUUUUUUCUUCAAUGGUUGUAAGUAGUUGUUUGGUUUUUUUUAUGAUAAAAGGGUUCACUAGUUAGUAUUCUUUAGAAAUAUCUGUGUGUUGCAAUUCAGAUGUAUGUUGAAUUUGUGAAAAGGGCUUCAGUGCCACUAGCAUCAUGAAUAGAAUAAGCCUUUGAUACUUUCAUUGCAUGAAACCGUAACAGUAAAACAAAAGGUGGCCUGAAUAAAUGGAGAGCCGUGUGAGCUAGUGACACUAAAGCCAGUCUUUGUAUUACUGUAUUUUUGACAGAAUGAUUUUGAAAACUGUGCUACAGGGACUGAUGUGGCAAAUGUAUCUCUAUAUGCAGAAGGAAGUUUUUUAAGAAGUAUGGCUUAUUAUGCAUUUUUCAUUGAGGGCAUUGAAGUUGCAUGGACUGAUAGAAGUUGAUGCAAAAUGAGAAAGAAACAAAACCAGCAAAAUGUUUACCAAAAAACUCAAACAAAUGAGCAGUGCCUGUUCAAUUUCACAGUCUCUGUUGAGUUCAGUUGUAAAUAUGUUUCAGAUAACAUUUUCUUCAAAAAUAAUCUCUACAACAUUGUAGAAUGUGAGAGGUUCCUCAAUCCCAGGCAUAGGCUUGUCAAGAGCUGCAUUAGAUUAUGUCUUCAUCAAGCUGUUAAUUUGUGCUUAUAUCAUAUAGAACUUUUAGUAAUCUGGGAAGAGGCACCCCAUCUCAAUGAUAUUUCACUGAGAAAACUUUUUUAGGGCUGUGUGUUUCUUUAGAUACAUUUAGUACAACUGUAGGUGACAAGUAGUCAGUUAUUGCUUGCUAGCUACAUACCAGGGUUGAUCCAUUUUAAAACUUUUGGCAUUUUUCCCCAUACUGUAGGCCAUAAAUCCUGAAGGUUACAUUUUAAUUAAAAAGAAGGUGCGUGCGGAGUCUUUGUGUAAUGAACCUUCACUAGUAGGAUGCAUUACAGUACAGUUACUUAAUUUUGGAAUUAGGGCCCUCUGGCAUCAGACCUGAUUUUAGCCUGAGUGUUAACAAAGGUUUUUAUUGUGCCUGGUUGGAGGAUAAAGUGUUCUUUCUGGUACUUUUUUUUUUAGGUUACAAAUGAACUCAACUGCCACAAGUUUUAAACUGGUGUAAAUCAAGCUUGACUUAAUGUGAUUGUUACUGUUAUAUCCAGCCUAUACUGCUAGCAGCUGCUCAUACUGCAGUCAAUUACUGGAAGCGGAUAUAUUUCCUAUGCAAAAACUGUUUAAAC